rnacentral:misc_RNA from 1 species
GAUGAAGAACGUAGUGAAAUGCGAUACUUGGUGUGAAUUGCAGAAUCCCGUGAACCAUCGAGUCUUUGAACGCAAGUUGCGCCCGAAGCCACUAGGCCGAGGGCACGCCUGCCUGGGCGUCACACGUCGUUGCCCCCCCAUCUACUCCUUCGGGAUUGCGGGGGGGCGGAUGAUGGCCUCCCGUGCGCCUAGCCGCGCGGUUGGCAUAAAUACCAAGUCCUCGGCGACGCACGCCACGACAAUCGGUGGUUGCGAAACCUCGGUUGCCCGUCGUGUGCGUUCGUCGCGCAUCGAGGGCUCGAAAAAAUGCUCGGCUCCGGCUGGGCUUUCAACGCGACCCCAGGUCAGGCGGGGUUACCCGCUGAAUUUAAGCAUAUCAAUAAGCGGAGGA